rnacentral:snoRNA from 1 species
AUUCCAUGAUGGGGACAUUCUACGAUGUAGUCUUGGAAGCACUCCCAUGCUUCUGGAACGGAUUCAUCAUGUUGUUGCUGAAAACUUGUAAUCUUCCCACGGAGAGC